CACAGGGCCCAAUUAAUAAUAAGUUUGUGUUUGAGUGGUAUAGUGCAGCCGCAUUUCCAUCUUGGGUUCAAGGAAAUUUUAGGUUCCUGGAACUCUUAAAAGUACUAACCCUGAGCAAUGAUUUCUUUUGGCACCAAUAAAUGACCCCAGAACCGGAAUCUUGAACGCAC